GGCCUUGGCAAUGGUAUAUGAUUUCUGACAUACGAGAUCCAGACCAUAACCAGUUUGGAAACAGUCGUAUUGUCAGGUUGGAAGGCUAGGAAAACGGACAGCCCCAACUCUGCCUUUUACAGGGGGGAGGACGGGGUUGUCUGUGUGGGGAAAUAUUGCUACUACGAUAGCUGUGAAGAAACAGGAGGACCCGGUUGAUUUAAAACAGAUGGAUGGUCCCAGGCGACGUCACUAUCAACCGUCCGCACGAAGCUCGAGAAUCUACUGCUGUUAUUCUUAAGGUGCUCGUGUCGUUUACAUCGCUCUGCUCAUACAGACAAGUCGGCAGUUGUGAGAGGCGCUUGACAACCCCACUAGAUCCACCCUUGUCUUCUGAGGGUGUGCGUAUCCAGCCUAGCUUCUACUAUCCUUCGCCGCGUGGGUCUAGGUGGGCCCGAGGGGUUGGCUGUUAUCUUUGGUUAUCUAGCUGUAUGAGUGGUGUACAUUCUUCAUAAAGCUAGAUAACCGAAAGUAACAAGAAUCCCAUUGCGCUCCCGCAAAGCCUGUUUCUUGUGCCAACAAACAAAACAAAAUGGCCGACGCCCGAGAGGAAGUGACUCAGCGUUUGUGCCCAGCCAACCAAUCAGAAGACUUAAAGGUGACCCAUCACAUUGAAGUUAUGAUGUCAAGGCCAGUCAUCUGGCUCCGCCUCCCUCUGAAGUCCCCCACCUGCCGACGCCCACCCCACCCCACCAAUGGGGGCGUCCAUUUCCGAACGUAAUGGUGCCCACCUGACCUAAAUGGAAGCGGAUUGAAUCCUCUUGUUAAACCUGAAGCACUUUGUUGACGUUGAGGGAUCUCCCUUUAGUUUGGGUCAACUUUGGGCACAUGCCUGGACUGAACAUGGGGUAAUGUACUGUUGAGUCACGGAUACCAAUGGAUACGCAACCACAGCUGAAAAUAGGGUAA